rnacentral:tRNA from 1 species
UCCCUGGUGGUCCAGUGGUUAGAACUCUGCACUUUCACUGCCAAGGGAGCAAGUUCAAGCCCUGCUCAGGAAA